UCCGCUGAGGAUGGCUUUUCCCCGGUGUAAUGAGCCGGGGGAAUAAGGAGAGGGCAAGACUGGUGUCAGCCGCCGCGGUAAUACCAGCUCUCCGAGUGGUAGGGAUGAUUAUUGGGCUUAAAGCGUCCGUAGCCGGCUUAGCAAGUCUCCUGUUAAAUUCAGCGACUUAAUCGUUGAGCCGCGGGAGAUACUACUAGGCUAGGAGGCGGGAGAGGCCGACGGUAUUCUCGGGGUAGGGGUGAAAUCCUAUAAUCCCGGGAGGACCACCAGUGGCGAAGGCUGUCGG
rnacentral:rRNA from 1 species